AGUACUCCCAACCAUACCCACCUCCACCAUCUGGAUCUCAACCUUAUCCUCCACCUCCACCACCCCAAGGAGUCAACCCUCCUCCCCCACCGCAAGGGAUCUAUCCCCCACCACCACCGGGAUACCAGGACUACUUCCAUGAUGGGUACCCUCCUCCACCUCCGCCACCGCCACCGCCGCCACCACCACCAUCUCAGCCCUACUACCACAGCCAUGAUGGUGACUCCUCUUGCUUCUCAUUCAUACGAGGAUGUUUGGCUGCUCUUUGCUGUUGUUGUGUGUUGGAAGAGUGCUGCUUUUAAGGAGCCUUAAUGGCUUAAGGUGUUUGGAGGUUAUGGCACUACUAACAGUGACUUUCUUCGUCCAUAUUUCUCGGCCUGUUCCCCAUGGUGGUCGUGGGGCACUACUCAUCAUGGUGGCCGUGGACUAUAAUAUAAGAUCAUCAGAACUUAUGGCUUGUGUGCAGCAUAGUUAUUAUUCCAUAAUACUACCCUAUGAUGAACUUUGUAAUUUUUAGACAUUAUGCUAUUGAUAAUUCACUCAGUCAUUAGAAUCA